rnacentral:lncRNA from 1 species
ACCCUGUGAGCAUUGACAGAGUGCUCCCUGCUAGCUCCGUGGCUGUCAAAACAACAGUCAAGAUUGCUCCAGUGCAGGGGUGUAGUGGUCCAGAGACAUUCCUGGAAGGAUAAGGGUGAGAAGCAGGAGGCAGCCUGGACAGCACAGUGGUCCAUUGCAGGACAGUGCGACACAAGUGUCCUCCAAGUGCUCCGGUUUCCUCCCACAGUCAAGAGACAUGCGUUGGGCACCAUCACAGUGGCAGCCUGAGUGGAUUUCCACACGAGCAUCAAUGAAGUACGAUGAUGGCAAUGAUGACAAUGACAGUGCUAAUGGUGGUGGUGAUGAUGAUGAUGAUUAUUACAUUUACUACGCACUCGGUGACUGACACGUUUAUGCACUAUGGGAAAUGUUGAUUACUCAUCAGUUUGCAUAUUUGGACCAUGGGAAGAAAAUGGAGCUCGUGGAGGAGGCCUACAUGAACAUAGGGGGAAGCGCCACACGGACUGAGCUGAAUUCGAACAUGUCCAAACCCACAGCCGAUUAGCCGUGGGCCACCAGUGCUGCCCUCUGCACCUCCGUGGCACCCGGUUUGAACCGGUUUAUGUUAAUUAACGGGCGCUUUCGUUCCUAAUGAGCUGGUUCUAAGAGAAGUAAGAAGUAAAAGUAAUGCUGACAGCUUUGUAUGUUUUAAAAACGCCUAACUUUAAUAUUAUAAACAGCAGGGCACAAGUAUGAGAAUUUUGUGGUGUUGAAAAAAGGCACAUAAUCAUCUUUAUUUAGCACUGCCAGCCGUUGCAGAAACUUUGUGGCUGAUGAUGACACAGAGCUCUGUGUAAUGACGAAAUUCUUUCAUGCUUGUAGCUGCCGUGCCAGCGCCAGUGCAGGGUAUGUCGGGAGACGAUGGUGAGGCGGGUUCGCACUUUGCCCCGCGGACCCCGGCCUCGGCAGCCUCUCCUCCUGAGUUCACCCACCAGGCCAUCGUGCGCCUGAUCGAGGCGGUGGGUCGACGCUGGGACAUGUAUGGCUCACGCGAACGCACCCGCCUCUUCCACAGCGUCCAGCAGGAGCUGGCGGAGCAGGGCCAUGCGCUGCCCAUGGAGAGGAUCCGCCGCAAGUGGAACAACCUUGUUGUCACCUACAAGCGGGUGAAGGACCGGUGCCGUGAGACAGGCCAGGCCAAGACCUCGUGGGAAUACUACGAGAUGCUGGACACUAUGUUGGGGAAGACCAUUGGUGCUCAGGCCGCUACUGCAGCUUCAGCAACGCUGGUCGGCAUGACAACCACCACCAAGGCCACAUCAUCUGUAGAGCUGCCAUCAUCCAGUCAUACGGUGGCGGCGGCUGCCAAGCCCUGCGUGUUCGCUAGCAGCCUCAUGGCUACGUCCACCCCGAUCCCCACGCUGGUGCAGUCCGUGAUCCCGUCGGUGCCGGCUACCCCCAACACCGUCUCCAGCCCUCUGGGAAACGCUGACGCUCACCAUCCCCGGCGUGCAGCAGGACCAAGCCGGCUGCGCGUGGGACCCAGGCUGCGAAUCGGCCCCUCUGGCUCGGCCGCCUCUUUCUCGGCGCAGCAGAAUGGCCCGGCAGCAAAGCGCACCACUCUGCUGCGUAGCUUCCUGUCCUCCCAGGAGGAGCGGGCGCAACUAGAGGAGGAGCGGCUGCAGAGGGCGGAGGCCCGCGAGAAGAGGAGGGAGAAGAGGGAGAUCCGGAUGGCCGAUGCCUUGGGCCGUAUGGCCGCAGCGCUGGAGCUGGUCUCCUCCAAACAGGACACCAUCAUCGCUCUGCUGCAAAGGGUUGCCGACAAGCAGUGAUACGUGAGCAGAGCAUCGCUAAGGCCACUGGGACAACGAGCCAAUGUACCUGCACAGGUGAAGCUCACAGUGAUUUCUGAGUGAACCAGAGAACCAGUUACUUCACAGAGUAAUUUUAAUGUGAGUAGUAAUUUGAAUUUUAGUUUAAGAGACCACCUCAAGGGUGACUGUCUCUGCUGCUCCAAGUGGCUGCAGGUCGCCGUGGCUACAGAAGUCACCCGAUCGAUGGCUGGCGCUCCAAACGCUCUGUGAAUAUGUGCUAAUAUAGCACUCUCUUUGUGAAACACCACCUGUGUGACGUACGAAUAAUGUUUAUGUUUAAUGGUAAGGUCAACGUUUAGUAGUUCCUGUUAAAGAAAAGUAUCGUUUUGCUUUUCUCACUUUGUCUUUUGGUUUAUAGAAUGAUGUGUAAAUAAAAUGUUCUUCAGUAAAAAAUAAUUUUCUAUU